rnacentral:rRNA from 1 species
UAGGGAAUCUUCGGCAAUGGACGGAAGUCUGACCGAGCAACGCCGCGUGAGUGAAGAAGGUUUUCGGAUCGUAAAGCUCUGUUGUAAGAGAAGAACGAGUGUGAGAGUGGAAAGUUCACACUGUGACGGUAUCUUACCAGAAAGGGACGGCUAACUACGUGCCAGCAGCCGCGGUAAUACGUAGGUCCCGAGCGUUGUCCGGAUUUAUUGGGCGUAAAGCGAGCGCAGUCGGUUAGAUAAGUCUGAAGUUAAAGGCUGUGGCUUAACCAUAGUACGCUUUGGAAACUGUUUAACUUGAGUGCAAGAGGGGAGAGUGGAAUUCCAUGUGUAGCGGUGAAAUGCGUAGAUAUAUGGAGGAACACCGGUGGCGAAAGCGGCUCUCUGGCUUGUAACUGACGCUGAGGCUCGAAAGCGUGGGGAGCAAACAGGAUUAGAUACCCUGGUAGUCCACGCCGUAAACGAUGUCGAUUUGGAGGUUGUGCCCUUGAGGCGUGGCUUCCGGAGCUAACGCGUUAAAUCGACCGCCUGGGGAGUACGGCCGCAAGGUUA